rnacentral:rRNA from 1 species
GACGAACGCUGGCGGCGUGCUUAAUACAUGCGAGUCGAACGGAAAGGCGCGGAGUUUGUGGGGUGCUCGAGUGGCGAACGGGGGAGUAACACGUGUGUAACCUGCCCUUGACUGUGGGAUAACUCCAGGAAAAUGGGGCUAAUACCGGAUAGGAGAUCCUGCUGCAUGGGGGGGGUUGGAAAGUGUCGGCGGUUCGGGAUGGACUAGCAGGUUAUCAGCCUGUUGGUCGGGUAGGUGCUUACCACGCCUUUGAGGGGUAGGCGGCCUGGGAGGGUGACCGGCCACAAUGGGCCUGAGGGACGGCGCAGUCUCCUACGGGCGGCAGCAGUGGGGAAUAUUGCGCAAUGGGCGGAAGCCUGAUGCAGCAACGCCGCGUGCGGGAUGCCGGCCUUCGGGUGAUAAACCGCUUUCGCCGGUGACGUAGCGUGCUUGACGGUAAUUGGUAAGAAAGCACCGGCUAACUACGUG